rnacentral:tmRNA from 1 species
GGGGCUGACAUGGCUUUGACAGCGUGACGAGGUGAUUUGUAAGCAUGUAGUGCGUCGUUAAUUGGCACUAUAAUCUCAGUUAUCGAACUUUUAGUUGGCGAAGAAAAUUACGCUCUCGCUGCGUAGUCGAAGUUCAGUAGACUGACGCUUAAUCGCUGCACAGGUGUGGCGACGAGACAUCACCCGAAAAGCUCCUGACCUGUAGCGUUUCGACCCGGUGGUGUAACGGAAAUACGGGUAUCGUCCGAUGCAGCCUUCGGCAUUGGAUUAAAUGAAAGGAGGAUAAGGAUUGGGGAGGGUGGCUUCUGCCUAACCUCUUUCUCGAAAAUGAAAGAGAAGCUAAACAUGUAGAAAGCAAUUUGUUUCCACGUUUGGACGAGGGUUCAAUUCCCUCCAGCUCCACU